rnacentral:rRNA from 1 species
UAAAUAGCUAUGCCAACUUUUGUUGGUAGCCAGCUUCUUAGAGGGACUGUCGGCGAUUAGCCGACGGAAGUUUGAGGCAAUAACAGGUCUGUGAUGCCCUUAGAUGUCCUGGGCCGCACGCGCGCUACACUGAUGAAGUCAGCGAGUCUAUAACCUUGGCUGGAAAGUCUG